GCCGGGGUGGCUCAGCGGUUAGAGCGCCGGUCUCUUAUUCCGGAGGUCGCGGGUUCGAAUCCCCAAAGAAUAUUUGGGGCGAAAAUCCCGCCCCCGGCA
rnacentral:tRNA from 1 species